ACACCACUAAUGUUUUGUGUAGUUAAAGAUGCUUCUUUCUGUGAUGAUUCUUCGCAUUUUUCAGGAUGAGGAAAUUAAUGAACUUAAAGAUCUUAUUGGUUCCUCUAUUUUGGAUUCAGAAGUUCAAGGUGGCUUGAGAUGGCCCUUUGGCAAGAUUUCUUCUGGUGGUCGAUAUGCUGUUAUUGGUAUUGGUCACACAACUUCAAAAUCAUAUAGAAAUUCAUCAAUUAGGUUUAAGCUUCGGCAUGCAGAUCAAUUUGAUUUCAGAUCUACGACUGGUGAGCUUACACAGGAGAUUUUCCUGAAAAUGCCUAGAAUUAUAUCCCAGUUACAAGUAGGUUCUCUUUUUCUGACAAGCAAUUACGUCACUAAUUUUUAUUUUAUGUUUUCCAUUUUUUGAUGUCUCUGCAUGAUACAUAAAUGUUGGUUUGGUGUUACUCGGAACCGUAUCAUAGUAAAAUUUUACCUUAUCAAAAAAAGAAAAAGAAACCAUAUAGUAAUUUUCUUCGCAUAAGCUUGGACUAUUGUAUCCUGCAUUCACUCACUGAUUAAUCCACCGAAUUGGGAACCAUUUCAUCCAAGAAAGCUAAAGCAAGGCGAACUUACCAACGAUUCAAAUCUGGUUUUGCUUCUACUUGGGUAGAAACCAUCCAAAAGUGAUUGUCUGAAAAGAAUUUAGUGAAUGGUUCAAACUUGCAUGUGCCACGGAAAUACAAACAAAAACAUGCAGUGCCUUUUCAUUGUUGAAUUGAUACGCCUUUCUGUUUUAUUUUCUGAAUUGCCGCUUUACUGCUGAAAUAAUUGAUUUGAUUUACAUCCUUGACCAAAAAUGCAUAUGCAAACAGUCGACGAAAGCCUUGUGUUUGAAUUGCUCGAAGAUAACCUGAAGUUAAUCUGGGAUCACUGUUUGUUGGAUGGUUCUUCAAGCUGACCGUGUUUUGUUGAAUGUUGUGGGAUGUAGAUUGUUGAGAUAAGAACUAGAGUUCGAACGAUAACACUGAAAUGUUAUUACACUAUGUAGUUUUGGAAUGGAAUGAACUGAGCAGGGCCUUGGAUGUUAGUAAGGAGCAUCGGUUUUUUAUUGUAAA